UACUGUGCUCCGAUUCCUCAGGUUGGUAAUCGAAAUAAUCGUCUUGUUGGAGUAUAAAAUUGUGUAACAAUGCACAACAGAGAAUCCAUACCAUUUUCAUUUUUUAUUUGGAGCCUUAAGCCUUUUAAACUACCAAAUGUUCAAUUCGAAUUCUAUAUCGGCUGAAUUUUUUGUUAGUGUUAAAUUUUUAGAAUUUUCUCGAGAUGGCAUUAUAACAGUUCUCGAUAAUUUAUAUGCAUUGUCUCCAAAAAAUUUAUGUGCUUCAGUUGACAAUUCGCUGUACGAACAAUACGUGCAUCAUGAACGCUACCUGGAAAUCCUAACAUAAAGUACCUUAAUUUUAAUUUAUGAUCGCACACGGCUUGUGCCUUAACGGAGUAAAUAUGUUUUCGUGAAAAGUACGCUUCUGGGUCCUGUGACGGGUUUUCCGCCAAUUGAAUUUCGGUACCAUCAACGUAUCCUGUGCAGUUAGGUAACUCACUCGAUGUUUCUAAAACGUUCUUCCGUAUUUGGUCAACAACAGCGCAUUAAAUAUUCGUUCAGUGAAAUUCUAAAAUUUAAAAACAUGUUAAUGUAUUAUGAGGAAAACUGACGAAUUCUGACCUGAUUGAUACCACCAUCACUGAUUCCAAAUAAACCUGUAAUCUUCGAAAGAGUAGCUCCUUCACCGCUGGAACCUAAGCGAUACAACACAAUUGCCAGUUGCGUUUUAAUUGGAAAUUGUUUGCACAACCGAGUUUUGUUGAAAAGAUUGUCUCCCUUUAUUAGAUCCAAAAUAGCAUCGAAAGUUUUCCAAGUGACACGUGUGAUCUUCUUGAAUCGGUUUUCAUCAGGUUCCCAUAAGAUUUCAUUUAAAAAUAUCCUAGAUUUCGGUACACUAUUUUGAAUAAAUUGUACGCUGUAUCUGCAUUCUUCGCCUAAAGUCAAUACAUACAUUAGGUCCUCCAUUAUUUAAUCUUCUUUACUUGUCCUCUCUUCUGCAAAACAAAACAUGUAGUCAUUUAAAACAAAACCAAUUUAAUUUAAAUACAUAAAUGUAUAUAUGUGCAUGGGGUUGUAUGUGAGUACGUAAAAUAAAAUUCAAAUGUAUCUACUGUUUGAGUAUUUUGAAAAGUUAGCUAUCAUAGUAGGCCAUCCAAAAAUAAAAAAAAUGAAAAUGUAAAUGUAAGAGGUUGUAUGUGAGUACGUUAAAUCAAAUUCAAAUUUAUCUACUGUUUGAGUAUUUUGAAAAUUUAUCUAUCGUAGUAGGUCAUUCAAAAUUAUAAAAUGAAAAACAAGCUUCCACACAACUUUCAAAAAUGCGCAAUUUCAGUUGAAAUUCAAAGUUCGUCGAGGCACUACGGCACUACGGCACUACACUCACUAAUAUUACAUGGGAAAGAAAAUUUGCAGUAUAGCGAAUAUCGAAAAUGUGUGAACUAUAUUGUUUCGAUUAACAUCUAAGGCAAACGCAAUACUGCAAGUUUUUCUUCCAAUGGAAUGCUAGUGAGGACCUCGCACUAGCUUUGAAUUUCAACAGGGGUGUAAUUUAGGUCGCCUCCGCGCGGUGCACCCUGGGUAACGCAAAAUGGCCUUCCUCGGCUUCCUCCGGCGGGUACUGCAUCGAACACUUUCAGGGCUGGAGUGUUUUCGUUCAUUCGGACAACAUGACCUAGCCAGCGUAGCCGCUGUCUUUUUAUUCGCUGAACUAUGUCAAUGUCGUCGUAUAACUCGUACAGCUCAUCGUUCCAUCGUCUGCGGUAUUCGCCGUUGCCAAUGUUCUGAGGACCAUAAAUCUUGCGCAAAAUUUUCCUCUCGAAAACUCCUAGUGUCGUCUCAUCUGAUGUUGACAUCGUCCAAGCUUCUGCACCGUAAAGCAGGACGGGAAUGAUAAGCGACUUGUAGAGCUUGAUUUUGGUUCGUCGAGAGAGGACUUUACUGUUCAAUUGCCUACUCAGUCCAAAGUAGCACCUGUUGGCAAGAGUUAUUCUGCGCUGGAUUUCGAGGCUGACAUUGUUCGUGCUGUUGAUGCUGGUUCCCAGGUAUACGAAAUUAUCUACGACCUCGAAGUUAUGACUGUCAACAGUGACGUGGGAGCCAAGACGCGAAUGCGCAGACUGUUUGUUUGACAGAACAAACGGCGCGGUUGUUGCUUCCGAUGAUAUCAAUAUCAUCGGCGUACGCAAGGACGACGAGCGGUAAAUCAAUAUAAGCGAACGAAAUGGGUAAAUCAUCUGAAAUCUGUCAAAUCCCAAAUUUCAACAUGAUGACCGUGUUGAAAUUCCAUUCGCUGGUCAUGCGUACUCAGAUCCGAAGAAGUACGCGAGCUAUUUAAGGCGGAAAUUUAUACUGCACGCUUCGGUGGAUAAGGUGAAAAUAUGUGUUACCCGGCGUCUGCGCAAAAUGCUAAAAGACUGCGGACCACUUACCUUCACCAGCGGUGAGGUUGCAGUUGUCAUCAAAAACAGUAUAAACAUAUUGAUGCUGAAACACUUUUGCUCGGCGGUACAGAGCAGCAACAAAAACCUCAAGUCGCUAGCCGGCAGCAAAUGGGGUAAAUACAAAAAAACGUUGUUGGCAACUUACUAGGCAAUCGGCCGGCCGGUCCUAAACUACGCAGCUAACGCAAUGGGGAAGUUUCAGACUUGUCAAUACACCGCUCUCCGGGCAGCUACAGUUUGCCUCUUUGUGUCUCUGGUCGAGAACCUGCACAAUGCGGCCCGUAUGCUACCUGUCAAGGAGGACAACGAAAUGCUCUCCAAAAAGUAUUUGUUGGGAUGCUUUCGCAGAUUUGUCCUGCAUGCAAACAGUCCCCGCACAACACUAACCAGCUCUCUACAUGCCCCCUAAAUCCUACUCAUCUAACACCCAUUUUCCUUUGGUCCGACCUUAUCGAAACAGCUUGUUCCUUGGGCCUCCCGUUAGAUGACUUCGAUGACAAUUAGUCUAGACUUGUCGGUACAUUAAAAAAUAUAGAAUGUAUACGUUUCACUAUCCUAUAACUAAUUGAAUAAUACUUCAAUAAAUCACUUGCCCUUUUGGGUUACGUAGGCUGGAAGAAGUUUCAGCUGUCACAGUAUUAAAACGGUAAUUGUGCACAGAUGAGGUGAACGUGGGGAGUGUGACGAGUUUGUGAUGUCAUCUAAUUUUGCCCGACAAUCGGAUUACUAACUUGUGACUUAUUCACCGUUAAGUGCAAUGUAUGUUAUGGGCAAAAGUAGUUUCCAGCUCCGUCAAAGUCCAUGAUUUAAAUGUUGCCAUAAAAACAGCAGCAUUAAACAUAUCCCAAGUAAUUUUGAGGAAUGCUGCCGAUUUGACAGCGCUUUGCCAGAUAAAAAUGCGUGUCCGUCCCGGCUACGUAGAACCGACUGUCGUGGGUAGGGUACAAUCGGUGCUUAUGCUACUCUGGUUGGAUUGUUGUUUUAUAGUUGUACCAAUGUUUUCAAUGCCUUUAGUUGCUAUAUCGACUUCGUAUACUGAUGGUGAUUUAACAAUUUCAUAAGGGAUCGCCUUACGCGUACGGCGUCGAGUGCGUAUGCGAUUUGGUGCACUGUGCUAAGCAUUAUGGAUGUUGGUAUAGGAAAAAUUUGCUUACUCAAGAUACGUGUCUUACGCUAGCUGAAAACCGGUACGAAUGCGGUAACAGGUGAAGCAAUAGUUGCACUUCAUUGAUCCAAAAUUUAAUUUGUGUUCGUGUUUUUUUAUAUAAAUAUACACGUUUCCUCCUACCACUGGCCAUUUCUAUUAGUUUCUGUUAGCUUGAUUACAUCGCCUAUAUCUCGUUUUAGUGAAUUUUGUUCGUCUAAAAAUUGCCGAAAUCGGACAAUAUACAAAGUCAAAGACAUCGAACAUGAGGGGCAGGCUCAGUAGUUGUGGGCAUUUCAUUUACCGAAAAUAUUGGUAAAUCUUACAGAUAUUCUAAAGAAAAUCAGAAGUGGUCUUUAUAAUUAUGAGCCUCCGUGCUGAAAAUUUGGCAAAAAAGGUCAAUACUUCAUCUAGUCUCUAGCCUUAAAUAUUAGUAUUUCACUUAUCUGGCAACAAUGCGUUAAUUAUUCGUCGAUUCGAUUUAUAUAAGACUGUUAGUAUAUGUACAUGCACAUAAGUACUUUAUCUAAAAUUAAAAUGCUCCCACUGUUUGACUAUUUUGGAAAGUUGGCUAUUCAAAAUUAAGCCCAUCGUAUUUUUGAACAACCAAUAAUUAGAUAUAUGGGAGCUAGGGGAAGUUAAGACCUCUUUUGGGGGCAUGGCAAUGGACCGAUAUCGCUCAUUUUCAAUACCAACCCCCUCAGGAUGCCAAGGAAUAUAUGUAUGUUCCAAGUUUCGUCAAGAUAUCUUCAUUUUUACUCAAGUUAUUCGUUGCACGGACAGACAGACAUCUGGAUUUCAACUCGUCAUCCUGAUCAUUUUUAUAUAUAUAACCCUAUAUCUAACUCAUUUAGUUUUAUGACUUACAAACAACCGUUAUGUGGAUAAAACUAUAAUACUCUCUUAGCAACUUUUGUUGCGAGAGUAAAAAAAUAUAAGCUAUAAAAAAAUAAUUUCACAAUAAUGGUACUCAUUUAACGUCGUAAACGUAAUUCGCAAUAUCGUAAAACAGCUGCUAAUUUUUACAUGCAUUUUAUUUUACGACAAUCUUGCAAAUAUGCGAGACCGUUUUCAGUGGCAACCAUAGCAUUUUGCGCAAUUCACAAACAGCUGGAAGCGUCUAUUUGGUGUUUGAAAAGAAAUGGAAGCGAAAAAUAGAUUAAUGCUAAACGGCACAUUUCGUUGGGCUGAAAGCCAAACGAAAGACCUUUUGAUAAAUAUAGUGGACGCAAUCAAAGAGAAUCCGGACCAUUUUGAGAAACCAACAGCCCAAAGGAAUUUGAAAAAGAGAGAGAGGAAAACAAUUUUCAAUUGCAGAAAUUACGGUUGGAGAAAGAAAUGGAAAAAGUCAGAUUGGAACACGAACGAUUGAAAAGCUUAAAUAGCUCAUAACUUACCAAAAUGUAAUAAUUUGUAUUCCAAUAUAAGAUUUUUUCCAUUUUGACUUUUUCUUCUUAAUACAUUUGUUGGUUUGUUUUACUUAUAGUGACUUAGUGAAUAUGGUCCACCUUGCUUUUUUUUACUUUAUCCGUAUUAACAGUUAUUUCUAGUCAAAUAAUUUAUAUUACUUGUUUAUGUAAAGAAAUUGAAUUUUAUUUGAAAAAAUAAAUAAGAAAAUAAUUUUUAUAUAAAGAUAUUUAUUGAUUAAACAAUAGUUCAGAAAUUUGUCGUCGCCUUAUCUCCCCUUCAUUGGUACGAGCAUUUGGUUCCCAUAACGACUCGUCAAUACUGUGCUCCGAUUCCUCAGGUUGGUAAUCGAAAUAAUCGUCUUGUUGGAGUAUAAAGUUGUGUAACAAUGCACAACAGAGAAUCCAUACCAUUUUCAUUUUUUAUUUGGAGCCUUAAGCCUUUUAAACUACCAAAUGUUCAAUUCGAAUUCUAUAUCGACUGAAUUUUUUGUUAGUGUUAAAUUUUUAGAUCGAGAUGGCAUUAUAACAGUUCUCGAUAAUUUAUAUGCAUUGUCUCCAAAAAAUUUAUGUGCUUCAGUUGACAAUUCGCUGUACGAACAAUACGUGCAUCAUGAACGCUACCUGGAAAUCCUAACAUAAAGUACCUUAAUUUUAAUUUAUGAUCGCACACGGCUUGUGCCUUAACGGAGUAAAUAUGUUUUCGUGAAAAGUACGCUUCUGGGUCCUGUGACGGGUUUUCCGCCAAUUGAAUUUCGGUACCAUCAACGUAUCCUGUGCAGUUAGGUAACUCACUCGAUGUUUCUAAAACGUUCUUCCGUAUUUGGUCAACAACAGCGCAUUAAAUAUUCGUUCAGUGAAAUUCUAAAAUUUAAAAACAUGUUAAUGUAUUAUGAGGAAAACUGACGAAUUCUGACCUGAUUGAUACCACCAUCACUGCUUCCAAAUAAACCUAUAAUCUUCGAAAGAGUAGCUCCUUCACCGCUGGAACCUAAGCGAUACAACACAAUUGCCAGUUGCGUUUUAAUUGGAAAUUGUUUGCACAACCGAGUUUUGUUGAAAAGAUUGUCUCCCUUUAUUAGAUCCAAAAUAGCAUCGAAAGUUUUCCAAGUGACACGUGUGAUCUUCUUGAAUCGGUUUUCAUCAGGUUCCCAUAAGAUUUCAUUUAAAAAUAUCCUAGAUUUCGGUACACUAUUUUGAAUAAAUUGUACGCUGUAUCUGCAUUCUUCGCCUAAAGUCAAUACAUACAUUAGGUCCUCCAUUAUUUAAUCUUCUUUACUUGUCCUCUCUUCUGCAAAACAAAACAUGUAGUCAUUUAAAACAAAACCAAUUUAAUUUAAAUACAUAAAUGUAUAUAUGUGCAUGGGGUUGUAUGUGAGUACGUAAAAUAAAAUUCAAAUGUAUCUACUGUUUGAGUAUUUUGAAAAGUUAGCUAUCAUAGUAGGCCAUCCCAAAAUAAAAAAAAUGAAAAUGUAAAUGUAAGAGGUUGUAUGUGAGUACGUUAAAUCAAAUUCAAAUUUAUCUACUGUUUGAGUAUUUUGAAAAAUUAUCUAUCGUAGUAGGUCAUUCAAAAUUAUAAAAUGAAAAACAAGCUUCCACACAACUUUCAAAAAUGCGCAAUUUCAGUUGAAAUUCAAAGUUCGUCGAGGCACUACGGCACUACGGCACUACACUCACUAAUAUUACAUGGGAAAGAAAAUUUGCAGUAUAGCGAAUAUCGAAAAUGUGUGAACUAUAUUGUUUCGAUUAACAUCUAAGGCAAACGCAAUACUGCAAGUUUUUCUUCCAAUGGAAUGCUAGUGAGGACCUCGCACUAGCUUUGAAUUUCAACAGGGGUGUAAUUUAGGUCGCCUCCGCGCGGUGCACCCUGGGUAACGCAAAAUGGCCUUCCUCGGCUUCCUCCGGCGGGUACUGCAUCGAACACUUUCAGGGUUGGAGUGUUUUCGUCCAUUCGGACAACAUGACCUAGCCAGCGUAGCCGCUGUCUUUUUAUUCGCUGAACUAUGUCAAUGUCGUCGUAUAACUCGUACAGCUCAUCGUUCCAUCGUCUGCGGUAUUCGCCGUUGCCAAUGUUCUGAGGACCAUAAAUCUUGCGCAAAAUUUUCCUCUCGAAAACUCCUAGUGUCGUCUCAUCUGAUGUUGACAUCGUCCAAGCUUCUGCACCGUAAAGCAGGACGGGAAUGAUAAGCGACUUGUAGAGCUUGAUUUUGGUUCGUCGAGAGAGGACUUUACUGUUCAAUUGCCUACUCAGUCCAAAGUAGCACCUGUUGGCAAGAGUUAUUCUGCGCUGGAUUUCGAGGCUGACAUUGUUCGUGCUGUUGAUGCUGGUUCCCAGGUAUACGAAAUUAUCUACGACCUCGAAGUUAUGACUGUCAACAGUGACGUGGGAGCCAAGACGCGAAUGCGCAGACUGUUUGUUUGACAGAACAAACGGCGCGGUUGUUGCUUCCGAUGAUAUCAAUAUCAUCGGCGUACGCAAGGACGACGAGCGGUAAAUCAAUAUAAGCGAACGAAAUGGGUAAAUCAUCUGAAAUCUGUCAAAUCCCAAAUUUCAACAUGAUGACCGUGUUGAAAUUCCAUUCGCUGGUCAUGCGUACUCAGAUCCGAAGAAGUACGCGAGCUAUUUAAGGCGGAAAUUUAUACUGCACGCUUCGGUGGAUAAGGUGAAAAUAUGUGUUACCCGGCGUCUGCGCAAAAUGCUAAAAGACUGCGGACCACUUACCUUCACCAGCGGUGAGGUUGCAGUUGUCAUCAAAAACAGUAUAAACAUGUUGAUGCUGAAACACUUUUGCUCGGCGGUACAGAGCAGCAACAAAAACCUCAAGUCGCUAGCCGGCAGCAAAUGGGGUAAAUACAAAAAAACGUUGUUGGCAACUUACUAGGCAAUCGGCCGGCCGGUCCUAAACUACGCAGCUAACGCAAUGGGGAAGUUUCAGACUUGUCAAUACACCGCUCUCCGGGCAGCUACAGUUUGCCUCUUUGUGUCUCUGGUCGAGAACCUGCACAAUGCGGCCCGUAUGCUACCUGUCAAGGAGGACAACGAAAUGCUCUCCAAAAAGUAUUUGUUGGGAUGCUUUCGCAGAUUUGUCCUGCAUGCAAACAGUCCCCGCACAACACUAACCAGCUCUCUACAUGCCCCCUAAAUCCUACUCAUCUAACACCCAUUUUCCUUUGGUCCGACCUUAUCGAAACAGCUUGUUCCUUGGGCCUCCCGUUAGAUGACUUCGAUGACAAUUAGUCUAGACUUGUCGGUACAUUAAAAAAUAUAGAAUGUAUACGUUUCACUAUCCUAUAACUAAUUGAAUAAUACUUCAAUAAAUCACUUGCCCUUUUGGGUUACGUAGGCUGGAAGAAGUUUCAGCUGUCACAGUAUUAAAACGGUAAUUGUGCACAGAUGAGGUGAACGUGGGGAGUGUGACGAGUUUGUGAUGUCAUCUAAUUUUGCCCGACAAUCGGAUUACUAACUUGUGACUUAUUCACCGUUAAGUGCAAUGUAUGUUAUGGGCAAAAGUAGUUUCCAGCUCCGUCAAAGUCCAUGAUUUAAAUGUUGCCAUAAAAACAGCAGCAUUAAACAUAUCCCAAGUAAUUUUGAGGAAUGCUGCCGAUUUGACAGCGCUUUGCCAGAUAAAAAUGCGUGUCCGUCCCGGCUACGUAGAACCGACUGUCGUGGGUAGGGUACAAUCGGUGCUUAUGCUUCUCUGGUUGGAUUGUUGUUUUAUAGUUGUACCAAUGUUUUCAAUGCCUUUAGUUGCUAUAUCGACUUCGUAUACUGAUGGUGAUUUAACAAUUUCAUAAGGGAUCGCCUUACGCGUACGGCGUCGAGUGCGUAUGCGAUUUGGUGCACUGUGCUAAGCAUUAUGGAUGUUGGUAUAGGAAAAAUUUGCUUACUCAAGAUACGUGUCUUACGCUAGCUGAAAACCGGUACGAAUGCGGUAACAGGUGAAGCAAUAGUUGCACUUCAUUGAUCCAAAAUUUAAUUUGUGUUCGUGUUUUUUUAUAUAAAUAUACACGUUUCCUCCUACCACUGGCCAUUUCUAUUAGUUUCUGUUAGCUUGAUUACAUCGCCUAUAUCUCGUUUUAGUGAAUUUUGUUCGUCUAAAAAUUGCCGAAAUCGGACAAUAUACAAAGUCAAAGACAUCGAACAUGAGGGGCAGGCUCAGUAGUUGUGGGCAUUUCAUUUACCGAAAAUAUUGGUAAAUCUUACAGAUAUUCUAAAGAAAAUCAGAAGUGGUCUUUAUAAUUAUGAGCCUCCGUGCUGAAAAUUUGGCAAAAAAGGUCAAUACUUCAUCUAGUCUCUAGCCUUAAAUAUUAGUAUUUCACUUAUCUGGCAACAAUGCGUUAAUUAUUCGUCGAUUCGAUUUAUAUAAGACUGUUAGUAUAUGUACAUGCACAUAAGUACUUUAUCUAAAAUUAAAAUGCUCCCACUGUUUGACUAUUUUGGAAAGUUGGCUAUUCAAAAUUAAGCCCAUCGUAUUUUUGAACAACCAAUAAUUAGAUAUAUGGGAGCUAGGGGAAGUUAAGACCUCUUUUGGGGGCAUGGCAAUGGACCGAUAUCGCUCAUUUUCAAUACCAACCCCCUCAGGAUGCCAAGGAAUAUAUGUAUGUUCCAAGUUUCGUCAAGAUAUCUUCAUUUUUACUCAAGUUAUUCGUUGCACGGACAGACAGACAUCUGGAUUUCAACUCGUCAUCCUGAUCAUUUUUAUAUAUAUAACCCUAUAUCUAACUCAUUUAGUUUUAUGACUUACAAACAACCGUUAUGUGGAUAAAACUAUAAUACUCUCUUAGCAACUUUUGUUGCGAGAGUAAAAAAAUAUAAGCUAUAAAAAAAUAAUUUCACAAUAAUGGUACUCAUUUAACGUCGUAAACGUAAUUCGCAAUAUCGUAAAACAGCUGCUAAUUUUUACAUGCAUUUUAUUUUACGACAAUCUUGCAAAUAUGCGAGACCGUUUUCAGUGGCAACCAUAGCAUUUUGCGCAAUUCACAAACAGCUGGAAGCGUCUAUUUGGUGUUUGAAAAGAAAUGGAAGCGAAAAAUAGAUUAAUGCUAAACGGCACAUUUCGUUGGGCUGAAAGCCAAACGAAAGACCUUUUGAUAAAUAUAGUGGACGCAAUCAAAGAGAAUCCGGACCAUUUUGAGAAACCAACAGCCCAAAGGAAUUUGAAAAAGAGAGAGAGGAAAACAAUUUUCAAUUGCAGAAAUUACGGUUGGAGAAAGAAAUGGAAAAAGUCAGAUUGGAACACGAACGAUUGAAAAGCUUAAAUAGCUCAUAACUUACCAAAAUGUAAUAAUUUGUAUUCCAAUAUAAGAUUUUUUCCAUUUUGACUUUUUCUUCUUAAUACAUUUGUUGGUUUGUUUUACUUAUAGUGACUUAGUGAAUAUGGUCCACCUUGCUUUUUUUUACUUUAUCCGUAUUAACAGUUAUUUCUAGUCAAAUAAUUUAUAUUACUUGUUUAUGUAAAGAAAUUGAAUUUUAUUUGAAAAAAUAAAUAAGAAAAUAAUUUUUAUAUAAAGAUAUUUAUUGAUUAAACAAUAGUUCAGAAAUUUGUCGUCGCCUUAUCUCCCCUUCAUUGGUACGAGCAUUUGGUUCCCAUAACGACUCGUCAAUACUGUGCUCCGAUUCCUCAGGUUGGUAAUCGAAAUAAUCGUCUUGUUGGAGUAUAAAGUUGUGUAACAAUGCACAACAGAGAAUCCAUACCAUUUUCAUUUUUUAUUUGGAGCCUUAAGCCUUUUAAACUACCAAAUGUUCAAUUCGAAUUCUAUAUCGACUGAAUUUUUUGUUAGUGUUAAAUUUUUAGAUCGAGAUGGCAUUAUAACAGUUCUCGAUAAUUUAUAUGCAUUGUCUCCAAAAAAUUUAUGUGCUUCAGUUGACAAUUCGCUGUACGAACAAUACGUGCAUCAUGAACGCUACCUGGAAAUCCUAACAUAAAGUACCUUAAUUUUAAUUUAUGAUCGCACACGGCUUGUGCCUUAACGGAGUAAAUAUGUUUUCGUGAAAAGUACGCUUCUGGGUCCUGUGACGGGUUUUCCGCCAAUUGAAUUUCGGUACCAUCAACGUAUCCUGUGCAGUUAGGUAACUCACUCGAUGUUUCUAAAACGUUCUUCCGUAUUUGGUCAACAACAGCGCAUUAAAUAUUCGUUCAGUGAAAUUCUAAAAUUUAAAAACAUGUUAAUGUAUUAUGAGGAAAACUGACGAAUUCUGACCUGAUUGAUACCACCAUCACUGCUUCCAAAUAAACCUAUAAUCUUCGAAAGAGUAGCUCCUUCACCGCUGGAACCUAAGCGAUACAACACAAUUGCCAGUUGCGUUUUAAUUGGAAAUUGUUUGCACAACCGAGUUUUGUUGAAAAGAUUGUCUCCCUUUAUUAGAUCCAAAAUAGCAUCGAAAGUUUUCCAAGUGACACGUGUGAUCUUCUUGAAUCGGUUUUCAUCAGGUUCCCAUAAGAUUUCAUUUAAAAAUAUCCUAGAUUUCGGUACACUAUUUUGAAUAAAUUGUACGCUGUAUCUGCAUUCUUCGCCUAAAGUCAAUACAUACAUUAGGUCCUCCAUUAUUUAAUCUUCUUUACUUGUCCUCUCUUCUGCAAAACAAAACAUGUAGUCAUUUAAAACAAAACCAAUUUAAUUUAAAUACAUAAAUGUAUAUAUGUGCAUGGGGUUGUAUGUGAGUACGUAAAAUAAAAUUCAAAUGUAUCUACUGUUUGAGUAUUUUGAAAAGUUAGCUAUCAUAGUAGGCC